rnacentral:rRNA from 1 species
GCCAGAGUCAUAUCUCCCUGCAGUUCUCACCUGGUGUCCCAUUGAAGUUAAGCAGGGUUGAGCCUGGCCAGUACCUGCAUGGGAUACCUCCUGGGGAAAACUAAGGUUGCUGCUGGAA